GACGAACGCUGGCGGCGUGCUUAACACAUGCAAGUCGAACGAUGAAGCCGGAGCUUGCUCUGGUGAAUUAGUGGCGAACGGGUGAGUAACACGUGAGUAACCUGCCCUUGACUCUGGGAUAACUGCGGGAAACUGUAGCUAAUACCGGAUACGACCCUCGGAGGCAUCUCCUGGGGGUGGAAAGAAUUUCGGUCAAGGAUGGACUCGCGGCCUAUCAGCUAGUUGGUGAGGUAAAGGCUCACCAAGGCGACGACGCGUAGCCGGCCUGAGAAGGUGACCGGCCACACUGGGACUGAGACACGGCCCAGACUCCUACGGGAGGCAGCAGUGGGGAAGAUUGCACAAUGGGCGCAAGCCUGAUGCAGCAACGCCGCGUGAGGGAUGACGGCCUUCGGGUUGUAAACCUCUUUUAGCAGGGAAGAAGCGAAAGUGACGGUACCUGCAGAAAAAGCACCGGCUAACUACGUGCCAGCCGCCGCCGUAA
rnacentral:rRNA from 1 species